rnacentral:lncRNA from 1 species
GGAACACAAUUCAUUGACAGAGAUAAACAAUAAUACAUUGGCAGGAUUGACAGGAAAUCUUUAUACUUUGUAAGUAUAGUUAAUCUUAUUGUUUAAUCCUGAUAUAUUUAGAAGCUUUUGUGGCAAUAACACUUGCUGAGAUACCAUGCGUUCACAAAAACAAUUUGUAAUACAAAAUGUGACCAGAUUUGAUGUAGCAGGAUACAUUGCAGACGAAGUGUAUAUUAUUUGUGGUGUUUAUAUAAAGAUAAGGAGAUGUUGCAUGUUUACCAAUGGGGCUAAUAUCACAAAAAUGUGACGUGGAUGCAAGUAUCAAUGAGGCAAUGUAUGACCUCCACCAAUUAGAAACAUCUAUAACGUAAAGUAAGCUUUAAAUUCCCGACAUGAUAUAUGUAGCAUGUUCACCAAUUCAAACGGAAACGAUAAGCACUGAAAUAAAGACUGCUGACUUUGAACAGGUACAUACAGAUGCAGAAUGUAUGUCUUAGAGUUGUCAAAUAUCUUUAAUUCCAAGAUCUUAAUCGAAACAAUCGACAACUGACAGUUAUAGGUCUGACUCAAAACAGUAAGAUAAAACUUUCAAAAUAUAUGCCAGGCAACUUUGUCACACAAUAGUGAAUCUUUAAGAAUUGGAUGAUUGAUAUAGACAAUUAAAACUAGCGAAAAAGACACUUACAAUUAUAAUAAAAUUUUCACGUAUCUUAUUAGAGUCCUAAUGUUUUAAGCUAAAUAUACUUUAGGUACUUGAGAAACAAUUUAUUGACAAACAUAGCAAUUGGGUCACUGAGUCAUCUAACCGGACUUCGAAAUCUGUAAGUAUAUAUUUUAUAUUGAUAUACCAAGAGCUGAGUAAAAGAAUGAUAACAUUAGUUUAAUAAAUGGUAUGCAUCCGUUCACCUAUAGGUUUUUUAAACCUUCAUCAUGAUCGCUUAAAGGCGAAUAAAUGAUACCCAAGAAUGUACAAGAAUCAGAACAGUUGAAUAGCUGUUUGACCAAAAAUGACCUUACAAAAAAGUUAAAUUAUGAUGUACACUUUAUCAUGACCUCUUGUGCAAGAAAUUCGAAUGUGGAAGGGUUGUCGUGUUAAGUCUCUUAAAGGAUGUACUAAGGUGAGGUUUUGGAAUAAGUGUCAAAGGGUUUUUUCCAUACGAUACAAGGUAAAAUAUUUUGCCCCAUAACAGCUAUUUAUCUUUUAACAUAAGAUUUAAUAACUUAUGAACUACACAAAAACAUUUAAAUAUCGUUUCAUCUCGACCUCUUGUAAUUGUUCUACAACUAAUCUGUCGGUGCCUUUUAACAAGUUCCUUAACUUCUAUUAAAGAGCUUAUCAUAAACUAUUGUAAUAAAAUAUAAGAACAUAGUGGAAGUAUCUAUUUUUGGAGUGUUAAAAAAAUCUUUGGAUGUUUAAGAUAAAUUACGUGCUAUUGAUGGUCCUUUUGAUUCUGAUGACAGUUUUGAUUUUUCUACUCUUUACACUACAUUUCCACACUAUCUAUAAGUUUUCCUAUUUAAUUAAAUGUUCGUUUGGUAAAUAUGAACGCAAAAAUAUAUUUGCUGCAACUCUUUUGAAGCCUUCUUCUCUAAUGAGAAAAGUAAAUAUGCUAGAUAUACUUUCCGGAGGUGUGAUGAGAUGAUUGAAGCUGUUAAUUUUCUCCUUGAUAAUAUUUCUGUAUGUUUUGGCGACACAGUUUAUCGACAUGUUGUAGGUAUCCCUAUGGGCACUAAUUGAGCCCCUUUAAUAGCAGACUUUGUGUUUGUACUGUUAUGAAUCACAGUUUAUGACUAAACUCAAAAAAAGACCCGUCAAAAUUGCAUUCAAUUUAUAAAUUCAACAUCACUUACCGUAAUGUUGAUAUUUUUCGUUAAAUUAUCAAAUAUUUUCUCAAUAUACUGCUGGAUUUUACCCCAAGGAACUUACUUUAAAUAAAUCAAAUUGAAACGGUAAUAGCUGUCCUUUCCUAGUUUAAGUUAUUUCGGUUUAUAACGGGAAACUCCACACUAAAAUUUACGACAAAAGGGAGGAUUUUUCCUCCUAUUGUUAAUUUUCCAUUUUUAGAUGUGAUGUUCCUUUAGCAUCACUACGUUGUUUAUAUUCACAGCUCUUCGCUAGCCGUGUGUUGUGACGUUUUUGAUUUUAACGAACGUAAUUUAUGUAUUACUGGUAAAUUAUAAAACCAGGGAAUUCGUUACCACAAAUUACUUAAAACCUUUAUUAAAUUUGUUCAUAGAUUUAAAGAUUUGGUUUUAAAGUUUGGUUGGACCUGUAGAAAACUUAUUUCAAACGGGAUAGCACAUCCUCAUUUUUACGGAAAUGUUGUUAACCAUCACUGGGGUAAUUGUGCAGUUACGUAUAUCAAAAGAUGGCGGACGAAGUUUCUGGUCAAUAUUUCUUUUGUCAAUUCUGUAAAUUCAGUAUUAUUUUCGUAUUUCGUGUUUUAUUUAAGUAUUACUAAGUUAGAAACUGAAAUACAAAGCUUAUUUUCAUAGUCAACCGCUAAAUGGAGAAAUCAUCAAUUCAGAAAAUCGCGAAGAUUAGGUAACUGUGUAGACUGAUAUCCGUAACUGUAAUAAACGUUGAGUGAAGGACAUCCGUAACGUUGGUUACAUAUUUUGCUUCCAUUCAUUAUACUCGAUUUAAUAGUAAGGAUCAUCAUUUUUUUUCCCGAAAUAAAACCCAUAAAUUCCCUAAAGUACUCUUCCACGUUCACUUUGUUUGUGUAAACUAGUUUUAUUUGUAUCCGCCUGUUGAGUUAAGCCUUUUCAACUGAUUUUUUAGUCUGCUCUUAUGUUGUACUGUAACACCAUUGUCCCAGGUUAGGGGAGUUGAACGCCAUCUUGCAUGUUUAACAUCGCUACAUUCUGCAUUUGCCUAGGCCUGACCCAUGUCACGGAAGCCUGCAGUUCAGUGAUGGUCGUGAGUUGCUGUGUUACAUAUUUGCUAUUUGUUUUGUUUUUUUCACGUAAAUAAAGUCAUAAGUUGACUUGUUCGAAUUGUGUUACAUUGGCAUUUUCGGGGCCUUUACUGAAUAUCAGACUUUAUUUGCGGUAUUGGCAUUGCUCACUGUUUAAGGCCGAAUGGUGACCUGAUAAAUGCUCAUUUUUAUGUCAUUUGGUUUCAUGUAGAGAGUUCAUCUCAUUGACACUCUACACAUUCCUAUUAUUAUAUAUUGUUCAGGACGAGAAGCAUGCCACAUGUAUCUAUUGACCCCGUCAAAGUGUUGUUACAAGGGUUAUCAACGUACAAAAAGCACGGAUAAUCUCUACACGAGACUGAUUACACGAACCCAUUCUGACCGGAGGUCGAUGCGUACUUGUACAUCCCGCACAGCAAAAACGGAUGACCCACUUUUGCUACGGUUUUCGGAGAGGUAGUCCAAUGGACACCAUUUUUUCAAAUCCACAGUAACCUUGCGGUCUGAAAUGUAGUGGUAGGUACUUGUGUUAUGAUCAGCUGUACGGAUAUGUGCUAUUGGUUUUUCUUUGAUAUGUUAACCUUACUCUAUGUACUGUUUAAAUAAUUAUUUUGGGGUGUCUCAUAUUCAACAUACCGCCAUUUGUUACGUGCUAUGGUCAUUUGCGCUUUUGCCUUAUUUUGUGUUCUCUGUUGAAAUAGUUUUAAAUUUGUUUUCUAUGCAUUCAAUUUAAAAUAAUGUUGACUGUGAUACUUGUACCCAAAUUUGAUAUUUUGACCGUUUGUUUACCAACAAUUUCUUUUAAUAUAUGGAAUUCUAUGUGAGUCUGAGAGUCAUGACCUCGUACAAGUAUAGGACUUAGCUAUCUAUAAAUAAUCCGGUUUAAUCACCAGUUUCUACAUAAGGUAAUGUUGUACCAAAUCAAGAUACAGUUUUUAUCAAUUCGUUUAGUGUGUUAGAGUUUUAGAUUUUUUCAUUUGCUAAGGACUGUCCGUUCUAAAUUUCUUAAUAUUUCAUCUAAUGCUGCUGACUAUAUAGAAAUAAACAAAUUGGAAGCCUGAUCAAUAUUUCACAUAAUAAAUUUAAGAUUCGAAGAACAAUUCUUAUUCAUGUUUAUCACACUUUAAAUAACCGGAGACAUAUAUUUCUGUUCAAACAUGAUAGAAUUGUGUAAAAAUAAAAUCUGUUACGGAAUCAAUAUUUGCAGUUACGAUAUUGUGUUGACAAUUUAUUUACUUCAGUACCCAUAUCAUCACGAUAUUUUAGUGGCAGUUUCUCCAUUAGCGUUGAAAAUGAAUAAGACAUUUGUAUUUCAGUUUCAAAUUUAGUAUUACGUUUAAGAAAGACAUGAAAUACGAAGAAUAAUACAUUAUUGUAUACAAAUUACAAAAGAAAUUGACCAGAAACAUCGACCGCAUCUUUGGAUAUACGUAACUGCAGUUACGGAGAUCACAUUUACCCCAGUGACCAUGCUCGGAAAUUUAGAAAUGAUCCUGGUAAACUUAUCGCUCCUUAAAAUAAACUUAUUCUAAAGGGUGACCAUUUCAACACUGUUAUAAGAUCAUUGAAUAUUGUCUUUUUUGGUAUAAAUAUUAAUUUUGUUAUCAGUAAAUUAAAAGCAAACUAAAUAUUACUAGUGUGUUACAUACAUAUACACAUUCAUGGAUCUACAAUCUUUCGAUACCUGUAUCUUGGCGUUGCACAAGGUCAUGUUGUUCUCUGACUGUUAUGACGUCUUUACACUAAAUCCAUUUGAUGUUGAUGUGUACGGAUUGAUAAUCUCGUCUUAGACGCAUGAUUUUUUUAUUAGUUGUAAGUGGGCUUAAACUAGCUGUCAGUUAACUGAUAGCUGUUGUACUGUUAUACCAUUAUCCCAGGUUAGGGGAGGGUUGGGAUCCCGCUAACAUGUUUAACCCCGCCCCAUUAUGUAUGUAUGUGCCUGUCUAAAGUCAGGAGCCUGUAAUUCAGUUGUUAUUGUUUGUUUAUGUGUUACAUAUUUGUUUUUCGUUCAUUUUUCGUACAUAAAUAAGGUUGUUAGUUUUCUCGUUUAAAUUGUUUCACAUUGUCAUGUCGGGGCCAUUUAUAGCUAACUAUGCGGUAUGGGCUUUGCUCAUUGUUGAAGGCCGUACGGUGACCUAUAGUUGUUAAUUUCUGUGUCAUUUUGGUUUCUUGUGGAGAGUUGUCUCAUUUUCAAUCAUACCACAUCUCCUUUUUUUUUAUAUUAAAGGUCAUUUGACAAAAUUUAACCAGUUUUUUUUUUUUAUUUUGAUUUUUUUCUUUUAAUUUGAAACCCAUAUAAUACCAAUGCAAAUAUAAGGUAAGAGUCCGAGUCAGCCAUUUCCCGCCAUAUUUUAUAAAUCAAAUAUCUUGAAAAGGAGCUCCAUGACCUAUUAAUAUUUUAGCUUAUUUUGAACCUUAACUAAUGCUCUUCGAGCUUAAAGUAUCAAUUUUGAAUUCUUGAUUUAUUUAAUUUUACCUUGGAUCACCUAAGUGUAUCCUUAAAAGUAUUUGAUAUAUUAUUCUACUAAUACAAUAUUCUCAUAAAUUGCUACAAUGACUAUUAAAUUAUUGUUAUAUAUUGCGUUGAAUUAUUUCUGUGUCAUGAUUUGUAAUACACCAAGCUCGUCGAAGGAUAAAAUUUGUAAAAAAACAAACAAAAGCUGCCUCGAUUUUGAAAGGAAAUUGAGAUGAAAUUGAAUUGACGACGUUUUUGAUAGGUGUGAUUCACAUCCUUAUCAUUCCAGGUAUUAUUGUGCCAAAACAUUUGUUUUCCUAUCUUGUUUUUUCUUCUUUUUAACCAGAAUAUAGUUACAUACACUUAUUCUUUCGGAUUACCUUCAUACUAGUAGUAUUCACAAAAAAAUCGAAAAAACAAAUUCAUUUACAUAGUUUUCGAAAGCAUAAAUGAUAUACAUGUUUCGUCUUAAAGCCCCGGACACAACAGAUCGUACGAUUUUUUGUCGUGGAAGAUCUAUAAAAUAGUUGUCGUGGCUUUGUCCUGCAGUGGUCACAUCAGCUACGACAUGUACAUGUCCAGGAUGGUUUCACGAUGGGUACACGACAAGAAAAAAAAUGUAAGUGUACUGUCGUGGGUUUGUCGCAACGCUAACAGGACCAUAUUUUGAUCUUGUUAGAGUCUGGCAAGGCGCCUAUUCAGCACUGCCAAGCGUAAUAUGCUGGUGGAAUAGCCAUCCACUUUAAACAGACGGUAUGUUUUUCAAAACAUUCAGUCCCGCCGAAUUGUAUUCUUCUAAAUAAAACGAAAAUAUGUUGAACGACGAACGUACCCGGCACAGUCGUACGACAGACAAUCAAUGUUGUGCGAGCAUCGUACGAAAUGUGAUAUUUGUGAGACAAUCGUGCGACUGUAUCACAAGUGUCUUGCGACAGUCGUGAUAUUACAUGUAUCGUGCGACAGUCAUACGAGUCGUGCGACAGUCGGAAGAUUUUUUUUACUAAAGCCCCGGUCACAACAGAUCGUACGAUUUUUUUGUCGUGGAAGAUCAAUAAAAUAGUUGUCAUGGCACUGUCGUGCAAAAUGUCAAAAAAAUAUUUCGAGUGCUCACAUCAGCUACGACAUGUUCACGACAGAGAAAAAAACAAUUCUAAUUGUACUGUCGUGGGUUUGGCGCAAGUCGGGCGUGCGACAGUCGUACGACAAUCGUGAGUUGUUAAGCCCUGGUCACAACGGGCCCACGACACAUCUAUGCAGUUCCACGACAUGGAAUUAUGUCAAAUCGCGGGUCAUCCGUGAUCGUCGUACGACAGUCGCACGAUAUUUUGAGCAUCGUGGCGCUGUUGUGUGUCGUGGGAUGAAAAUUGGACAUGCACCUUUUUUGCUGUACGAUUUUUUGUCCUCUAACUUUUAACCUGAGCUUCGCACUAUCUUUAUCUUUGUUUAGUGGACCGUGAAAUUGGGGUUAAUACUUUAAUUUGGCUUUGAAAUUAGAAAGAUCACAUCAUAGGGAACACGUGUACUAAGUUUCAAGUUGAUUGGACUUCAUCUUCAUCAAAAACUACCUUGACCAAAACAUUAACAUGAAGCGGGACGAACGGAUGCACGGACGAACGAACGAACGGAGGCACAGACCAGAAAACAUAAUCCCCCCUUCUAUCGUAGGUGGGGCAUAAAAAUGUAGAUGUGGUAUGAUUGCCAAUGAGAAAACUCUUCACAAGAGACUAAUAUGACAUAAAAUUAACAACUAUAGGUCACCGUACGGCCUUCAACAAUAAGCAAAACCCAUACCGCAUAGUCAACUAUAAAAGGCACCGAAAUGACAAUGUAAAACAAUUCAAACGAGAAAACUAACCGCCUUAUUUAUGUAUGUAUGUUUGUAUUGUUCACACAUUGUUGUCAAUAUAAUAACAGCCAGAGCUAUUUAGAAAAAACAGGUUUUAUCCACCAUUUUCUACAUAACAAAAUGUCUGUACCUAGUCAGGAAUAUGUUGUUGUACAUUCGUUUAAUGAUUUUGAGCUUUGGAUUUCGACAUUUGAUUCGGGAUAUUCCGUUUUGAAUUUUCUUCAGAGUUUGGUAUUUUUGUGAUUUUACUUUUUUUUAGAUGCCUUUUUUGUUACUUUAUCGUUUGAUUGCUGUCUUAUAAGACAUUUGUAGAUAUCUCUGUUGAGUAUAAGACACAUUCUAUCGUCGAAUUUCAUUUACAAACCAACAACAGGGAUAUUCGAUAUUGUCUUCGUCUAUUUGGUUUUUCUAUUAUGGUUUUUGAAUGGAAGAAUAUGGAAAUAUACAGCUUCCCAGAUGAAUUUGACCUUGUAGAAUUAAAAAAAUGCACGAGUUGUAGUGUUCUUACUGCUCGUCCAAGUAUUACAUAUGCCAAUUCAAAUUCAUCUUCACGAUAAUAAUAAUAUAAAACAUCUGUAUCAAAGAAGGAGUUGUUCAAAUUUUUGUAACCAUUGUCCCGUCCUUUGGUCCUUUGAUCCUCGAAUGUGACCUACCAAUUAAAUUUAUCACCGGAUGUGUAUUUACAUGAGCAACACCACAGACGACCAUCAUUGUUUUUUUUUUGUUUUUUUUUUUUGUCUUCAUAUACUGUCGUUAAAUAGUUUGCAGUGAAUGAGAUUAAACAAUUUGCGAAUCAAAACGGACAGUUCGGUAAGGGCCAUAUUACGUCCCGAUUAUAAAGUUUAAUGCUACAAGAUAACAAAUGUUUUAAGUUGUCUUAAAGACAUGUGAGAAAUUUAUAUAUAACUAUUUGUGUCAAAGUUUUAUUCUGUAGCGUUGAUUUUUACAUCCAAAAUAGAUCAAAAUAUAACAUUGUGACGAUAUAUGACAAAAUUGCCCGGAAUUCAACCAAAGUUAGAACCAGGAAACAUAGAGUGCAGGCGUCGACAAACUUAAUAUUCAAGUUUAAUAUGUCAAAUGUCAUUACAAAACAUAAUUUUAGUCCACGUAUGAGCUCUAUGUUUCCUGUCCAAUAAUCAUUGGAAAUUUACCAAUUUUCAUUGAUUUUUCGUGGAAAAUAAAAAUGAAGACUGUUAAUGACGUCAUCAGUAGAACGUAGGAACUUUUCAACAAAAAAGUUUAUUUCAUAUCUAGGGACUUUAUAAUUAUAAGCUUUUAAUCAUUGUGAUAUUGGUCAAUAAAUCGUGAUUUAAAAUUUAAGCUAAAAGACGAGGGCCAUUUUAGGGCCUUAUCGAACCCACUCUUUCAAGCACUAAAAAUAAACAAAUUACAUUCAAAUGUUGUAUUAAGUCAAACAAAUAAAGUAAACAUUACUUUAGAUUUUGAAUGGUUAAAACUGAAUAUUUGCAACAACAAUAGAAAAUCAUACCCCGAUCUCAUACUAAAAUUCUUCGUCGCUCUAUAAAUGUUUAGUUCUUAACGCUAUUCGGUUACGAGACGUUACUACAAUAACGUUCCUUUGUUAAUUUUAAGUAUGAACAACCAAAACACCAUUCUUUAUUGAAAGCCAAUCGAAGCAAAGCGCCUGCAGAUCAUAGAAUAUAUUCGUCGCUCCAAAGCAUUUUUUAAACUCUGUCUCAAUUUGAAAUAUGCAACAUUUGUCAAGAACUUUUAACUUGCUAUCAUAACGAGGAAGAACCUGAAAAUAUUCAUGUGAAAAAAUGUAUUGAUAACAUGUAUUGAACUGGUUAACAAGAUAAUUGUUUGUUUUGAAAGAUGUGACGAUUUCUUAUUAAAAUUUUGUUAUCAUCGUUUAUAUCGCCUAUUAAUUUCAUAUAUUCUAAUUAUAGGUAUUUAGAUGAAAACAUGAUCUAUGAUGCGUUGUUUAUUGAAUAUCUACCAACGACAUUGUAUACAUUGUAAGUUACAUAGCUUUCUAUAUAUCUUUUGUCCUCAUGUUUAAUCACUACAUUUUACGUUAAAUUUUAUUACACGUAUUGACGUUAAAUGGUGAUACAAACAUAUGUGUACUAUAUUUGUAUACGAGAACAUACGGAACACAGACAUAAAUUAAGGAUCGAGUAGUUAAAUGAUAAACCAAACAGACCAUCAGAUGUAAUUUGGUCCCUUGUGGAGGGCUGUCACAUUGGCAAUCAUACCACAACUUCUUUCCCAUGCAUCAAAUGUAAUAUUAUUUCACUACUCCUAAUGCUUUAUCAACAAUAUACGGUAGUGUAUAAAGUUGUCCUUUUUUAAAAUAAUAUGACAGUUUUCUCUUGAUAGUCACUGCAUGAAAAUGUCAGUUUCUUUAUUCCGAAAGAUUGCUUUAAUUUUAAAAGAAAUCUACCAUUUUCAAAACUUUUUCGACUUUACAUAUACAGUAAAAAAAAAAUAUUAUGUCAUUUUUAUAGUCAUCAGAGACACUAACAUUAAUCCUUGUACUCGUCGCGACAAAUUCUCUUCGGAAUUUUUAUUCUUGUCAUUUUGUCAAUGGGUUACGUGGUUUGUCCACACGAGGAUCGUUUUUGCAGAAUGUUUCUUUAAUUUUACUAAUGGUGACAUCAAAUUUUAACAAGAAGACUGGUAGUUAAAAGUUGUUUUGUUUUUAUUUGAAUAAAUAUUCAUAGUGUGCAUAAUGCGUUUCCUCUCUGCUGCACCUUAAACAUUUUUUUACAAGAAAGGGCUUUAUUUUCCUGAUUGUUUAUGACUUCACAUAAGAUAUGCAUUUUUCAUAUAUAUAUUAAUUUGUAGGGAUCCUUUACUAUAGAUAAUUUAGCUGAUCUGUAAAAAAUAACAUCUUCAUGCCUUAUAUAUCAUGUACGACGCUAGAUUAAAACUGAAAGGUAACACCCGGCCACCGGAAGCUUCAUUUUUAUGAAGCCCAGGUGGUCGUGUGGUCUAGCGCACCGGUUACUUCCUCACCCGGGGCAUAGUUUAUUUAAUAAAGAUUAAAAAAAAAGCGCCGAUUACAGUGCAGGCGAUUUGGUGUCACGAUAUCUCAGUAGCAUGGGUUCGAAUCCAGGCGAGGGAAGAACAAAAAAUUGCGAAAGCAAAUUUACAGAUCUAACAUUGUUGGGUUGAUGUUUAGACGAGUAUAUAUAUAUAUAUAUAUAUGUAAAAGUCUAUAAAAACGACCAACCAGCAAAUUUACUAUGUACCGGAUCGUCUAGAAUAGGCGAUACUAUGCAGAUAAGGAAAAAAUUAUAUCAGUCUAAAGAUUUGCACAACGGUACUGAUAUAAGAUGUUAUAAUACGAAAAUGUUGUUAUUAAAUCGUGUUGACAAAUAUUUCGGCUCAACAAAUGGCCUUCUUCAAGUGUCACAAGUUUUAACAAUACUGUAUUGUUAAAACUUGUGACACUUGAAGAAGGCCAUUUGUUGAGCCGAAAUAUAUUGUUAAAACUUGUGACACUUGAAGAAGGCCAUUUGUUGAGCCGAAAUAUUUGUCAACACGAUUUAAUAACAACAUUUUCGUAUUAUAACAUCUUAUAUCAGUACCGUUGUGCAAAUCUUUAGACUGAUAUAUAUAUAUGUAUAUAUAUGUAAUAGACACUUACAUUAUAACCCAUUGGUUACGUGUAUGUGCUGAUAACAUUUGGAACACUUGGUUUAAUAGCUUCCUUGUGAGCAGCAACCCUCAAUCAAGAAAAUCAUGAUAGGAAAUGCAAGCACGGGAAUUUCGUAUCAAUUUGGAGAUAUAUACCCCAUAUGCAGGUGCUGCUUGAGUGUUGCUACUUAGGAAUGGAAAGUUCACAAUUGGAAAGCUGAAAUCAUCUCUUUUGUCGUAAAGUUUUGUUUUCAAUUGACCCUCAUUGUCAAAUUUCUAGAUGCAAGUCAAGAUAUGAGGCCGACUUAACUGUAUCUGUUGUAUCCUUUAUUUCUAGAUCGAUGGGAUAGAUGCAUUCAACAUAGUCACCAAAUUUUGAAUUAUUUAGUGAAAGAACAUCAUCUUUAUAGCGAAAACUAGAGUUAAAGGAUAUUGCUAACUUCUUAUCGUUCUUCCUAAGAAGUCAACAAUUGAAGAUUGUGCUCAAUACAUUACAGAUGAGUUGCGUCGGAUGGAAAUCUGACCUGAGGCACUUUAUCAAUACAACUGUUAUUCAGUUUCGAGCUGGAUGAAAAAGUGGUUGUUUUUAAGAUCCUUACAAAAUAGACAAAAUCAUCAUCGUUUAUCUUGUGUUUGAAUUUUCCAAAACCGAUAGAAGUUGAUAAAUGUCUGAUACAUGUACAUGAAUACGUGCACUAGUAUUUGGUCGCUUUAUAUCCGACGCAUCUCAAUUACAUAAUAUUUAUUAAGAAAUAAACAAACAUAAGAUUCCUAGAUACAAUACAAAAUGACAAUUGGUUGUUUACUCGUCAUAGCCCAUUCAAUAAAGCGUUCUGGUUCAUUGUAUGGAUUGUUCAAUCACUCAGGGACAUAUCUAAAUUUUUUAUAUGGGAAAUUUAUACUAUGCAAAAAUAGAGUGAUAGUUCUAGUGUUUUCGAAUAAAUAAACUCAUCAUAAAGACAAUUAAGGCGACACUGUUGUACCGAUGUUUAAACUUCAUUAUUUAAUCAAGAAUAUAAAAAUAAAGUUAACAAAAAAAACAACCGAAGGAACCACAUAUCCCAAUAAAACGAACAAAAUCGAUCCUUCAAUAGGGUAAGCUUAUCUUGUUUCAUAUGCUGUCAGCACCCUCCAUUUUAAUUCAUCAUCAAUUAAAAUUUCAAUAUCGGAAAUGGGAAACAUAUGGUAAAAUUACAGAUAAGACGACAAUUAAGCAAAAUUUAAUUGUAACUAGACAUCUUACACUACGAAAAAAAUCCUAUGCGGAGCGCCUAUUACAACCCCGGUUUAAGGUGGUAUCUGUGGUGUUCAAGGUUUAGUUUUCUAUAUAAUAUUUUGCACACUGUUGUUUGAGUUUCGUCCUGCUUCGUUACGUUAGGGAUUUUUUUUCAUGGCUUUGUCAGUUUGUCUUUACUGAUGAAUAUCUUCUGUUUGUCUAUUACUGUGAAAUGCUAGAGGAGAUGUAGUCUAGCAGUGUUAUGUAUUACCUAUAUGACUUUGCUCAAUGAUUCUCAGAUUUUUUAUAUAUACAUUUAUUUCAAUCAGAUCGUUGAAAAACAAUUCUCUCGAUGACAUAGCAAAUGGAACAUUCUAUAGAUUAAUUCAGUUACAGUACGUGUAAGUAUAU